UACGUAGGGGGCUAGCGUUGUCCGGAAUCAUUGGGCGUAAAGCGCGCGUAGGCGGCCAGAUAAGUCCGGUGUGAAAGUCACAGGCUCAACCUGUGAAUGCCGGUGGAAACUGUCGAGCUAGAGUCCGGAAGAGGCGAGUGGAAUUCCUGGUGUAGCGGUGAAAUGCGCAGAUAUCAGGAGGAACACCAAUGGCGAAGGCAGCUCGCUGGGACGGUACUGACGCUGAGACGCGAAAGCGUGGGGAGCAAACAGG
rnacentral:rRNA from 1 species